rnacentral:lncRNA from 1 species
AUACUUAGCUGAGCUCACAGAGGCUGGCGGACGUGCGCCCCAUGGCGGAGCGAGCUGAAGUUGCAGCCUGGGACCAGGGAAAUCAAGAGGUAAAAAUGCGGCCAAACCAUUAUGAGGAAAAGGGGCCAAGAAUUACACUGUAGCGCCUCGCGCCGGCUCCCCGGUCUCCUGGGGAGCGAAGGGAGCCUGAAGAGCUGGUCCUUAUACAGCUUUCUGAAAUCCCUGAGAUCUGUCAAUGAAUCGCGCAUCUUUCACUCCACAAGUAUUUGUUGAACGUCAUUGUGAUCAUGCUGGCUGCUGUGUGGAGAAAAGACCGAGGGGAAGUAAAAGAACAAAGAACAAAAGAGAACAUGAUGGCUUGGAUCAAGCCUGGUUCUUGACUAUCCCCUAAAAUUGUCAGUCAGUAGAAGCUCACUGAGUAUCAUCUGAAUUUAAAUCACCAUUAGCUCCCUUCUGAUGAAGCAGGAGUUGACUCAGCUGGGCUUUCAGCUGGACACGGAAAGCGGAGGUAGAUGAAUUGUCAUGAUCAAGUGGGUGUCAUCAAGUACUUAGAAAGGUUUCAUUUUGUUCCUACUGUCUUUCCAACUUACUAAUAAAAAUAUUGAAAUCUA